CACGUAGUUAGCCGUGGCUUUCUGGUUAGAUACCGUCAAGGGGCGAACAGUUACUCUCACCCAUGUUCUUCUCUAACAACAGAGCUUUACGACCCGAAGGCCUUCUUCGCUCACGCGGCGUUGCUCGGUCAGACUUUCGUCCAUUGCCGAAGAUUCCCUACUGCUGCCUCCCGUAGGAGUUUGGGCCGUGUCUCAGUCCCAAUGUGGCCGAUCACCCUCUCAGGUCGGCUAUGGAUCGUCGCCUUGGUAAGCCAUUACCUUACCAACUAGCUAAUCCAGCGCGGGUCCAUCUCACAGUGACAGCCGAAACCGUCUUUCACUUGAACAUCUUAUGAUGUUCAGCACAUUCGGUAUUAGCAUCGAUUUCUCGAUGUUAUCCCCAGCUGUGAGGCAGGUUACCCACGUGUUACUCACCCGUCCGCCACUAACUUCAAAAGAGCAAGCUCUUUAUCCGUUCGUUCGACUUGCAUGUAUUAGGCACGCCGCCAGCGUUCGU
rnacentral:rRNA from 1 species